AUUGAACGCUGGCGGCAUGCCUUACACAUGCAAGUCGAGCGGCAGCGCGGGGGCAACCCUGGCGGCGAGCGGCGAACGGGUGAGUAAUACAUCGGAACGUGUCCUUUCGUGGGGGAUAACCAGUCGAAAGACUGGCUAAUACCGCAUGAGAUCUCACGAUGAAAGCGAGGGACCGCAAGGCCUCGCGCGAUUGGAGCGGCCGAUGUCGGAUUAGCUAGUUGGCGGGGUAAGAGCCCACCAAGGCGACGAUCCGUAGCUGGUUUGAGAGAACGACCAGCCACACUGGGAAUGAGAAACGGCCCAGACUACUACGGGAGGCAGAAGUGGGGAAUUUUGGACAAUGGGCGCAAGCCUGAUCCAGCCAUGCCGCGUGUGUGAAGAAGGCCUUCGGGUUGUAAAGCACUUUCGGCCGGAACGAAAUCGCCCGUGUUAACAGCGCGGGUGGAUGACGGUACCGGAAGAAGAAGCACCGGCUAACUACGUGCCAGCCGCCGCAGUAAUAC
rnacentral:rRNA from 1 species